CAGCAGCCGCGGUAAUACAGAGGGUGCGAGCGUUAAUCGGAUUUACUGGGCGUAAAGCGUGCGUAGGCGGCUUCUUAAGUCGGAUGUGAAAUCCCUGAGCUUAACUUAGGAAUUGCAUUCGAUACUGGGAAGCUAGAGUAUGGGAGAGGAUGGUAGAAUUCCAGGUGUAGCGGUGAAAUGCGUAGAGAUCUGGAGGAAUACCGAUGGCGAAGGCAGCCAUCUGGCCUAAUACUGACGCUGAGGUACGAAAGCAUGGGGAGCAAACAGGAUUAGAUACCCCUGUAGUCCCUGUCUCUUAUAU
rnacentral:rRNA from 1 species